ACCCCCCAUGGGGGGGGUUUUUGUUCAAAAUUUUUGGGUUUUUAUAAAAAAAAUGAAAGGGACCCUGGGGGGACUAAAGGGGGAAAGGGUUUCGUGUGAACAGUGGUUGAUCACGAGUUAGUCGGUCCUAAGUUCAAGGCGAAAGCCGAAAAUUUUCAAGUAAAAAUAAAAUUUACUAUAUGUAAAAAUUAUAUACUUGAAUAAUUUUGAACGAAAGGGAAUACGGUUCCAAUUCCGUAACCUGUUGAGUAUCCGUUUGUUAUUAAAUAUGGGCCUCGUGCUCAUCCUGGCAACAGGAACGACCAUAAAGAAGCCGUCGAGAGAUAUCGGAAGAGUUUUCUUUUCUGUUUUAUAGUCGUACUACCAUGGAAGUCUUUCGCAGAGAGAUAUGGUAGAUGGGCUAGAAGAGCAUGACAUAUACUGUUGUGUCGAUAUUUUCUCCUCGGACCUUGAAAAUUUAUGGUGGGGAUACGCAAACUUCUCAACAGGCCGUACCAAUAUCCGCAGCUGGUCUCCAAGGUGAAGAGUCUCUAGUCGAUAGAAUAAUGUAGGUAAGGGAAGUCGGCAAAUUAGAUCCGUAACUUCGGGAUAAGGAUUGGCUCUGAAGAUUGAGAUAGUCGGGCUUGAUUGGGAAACAAUAAUAUGGUUUAUGUGCUCGUUCUGGGUAAAUAGAGUUUCGAUCAUUUAUGGUUGUAACUUGUUCCCCGGAUAGUUAGUUACGUAUCCAAUUGUGGAACUUUCUUGCUAAAAUUUUUAAGAAUACUAAUUGGGUCAAACCAAUUAAUUCUUAUUAAUUAUAACGAUUAUCAAUU
rnacentral:ncRNA from 1 species